CAUAUCAAUAAGCGGAGGAAAAGAAACUAACAAGGAUUCCCCUAGUAACUGCGAGUGAAGCGGGAAAAGCUCAAAUUUAAAAUCUGGCGGUCUUUGGCCGUCCGAGUUGUAGUCUGGAGAAGUGCUUUCCGCGCUGGACCGUGUAUAAGUCUCUUGGAACAGAGCGUCAUAGAGGGUGAGAAUCCCGUCUUUGACACGGACUACCAGUGCUUUGUGAUGCGCUCUCAAAGAGUCGCGUUGUUUGGGAAUGCAGCGCAAAAUGGGUGGUGAAUUCCAUCUAAAGCUAAAUAUUGGCGAGAGACCGAUAGCGAACAAGUACCGUGAGGGAAAGAUGAAAAGCACUUUGGAAAGAGAGUUAAACAGUACGUGAAAUUGCUGAAAGGGAAACGCUUGAAGUCAGUCGCGUUGUCCGGGACUCAGCCUUGCUUCGGCUUGGUGCACUUUCCGGAUGACGGGCCAGCAUCGAUUUUGACCGCUGGAAAAGGGCUGGAGGAAUGUGGCACCUUCGGGUGUGUUAUAGCCUCCAGUCGCAUACGGCGGUUGGGAUCGAGGAACGCAGCACGCCUUACGGCGGGGGUUCGCCCACCUUCGUGCUUAGGAUGCUGGCAUAAUGGCUUUAAACGACCCGUCUUGAAACACGGACCAAGGAGUCUAACAUGCCUGCGAGUGUUUGGGUGGAAAACCCGAGCGCGUAAUGAAAGUGAAAGUCGGGACCUCUGUCGUGGAGGGCACCGACGCCCGGACCUGACGUUCUCUGACGGAUCCGCGGUAGAGCAUGUAUGUUGGGACCCGAAAGAUGGUGAACUAUGCCUGAAUAGGGUGAAGCCAGAGGAAACUCUGGUGGAGGCUCGUAGCGAUUCUGACGUGCAAAUCGAUCGUCAAAUUUGGGUAUAGGGGCGAAAGACUAAUCGAACCAUCUAGUAGCUGGUCCUG
rnacentral:rRNA from 1 species